GACGUAGGGCGCGAGCGUUGUCCGGAUUUAUUGGGCGUAAAGAGCUCGUAGGCGGCUUGUCGCGUCGAAUGUGAAAUCUCAGGGCUCAACUCUGACAUUGCAUUCGAUACGGGCAGGCUCGAGUUCGGUAGGGGAGACUGGAAUUCCCGGUGUAGCGGUGAAAUGCGCAGAUAUCGGGAGGAACACCAAUGGCGAAGGCAGCUCGCUGGGGACGGGUACUGACGCUGAGGCGCGAAAACGUGGGGGACAAAC
rnacentral:rRNA from 1 species